AGGAGCCGUAUGCGAUGAAAGUCGCACGUACGGUUCUGAAGCGGAGGUGCUCCCCUUAAUAGGGGACAUCGACCGUAAC
rnacentral:ncRNA from 1 species